AAUGAACGCUAGCUACAGGCUUAACACAUGCAAGUCGAGGGACCGGCGCACGAGUAAGUAACACGUAUCCAACCUGCCCUUUAAUCUGGGAUAUCCUUUCGGAGGAAAGUUUAAUAACCUCUGUAGAGGAUGGUGAUGCGUGACAUUAGGGUGUUGUUGAGGUAACGGCUCACCAAGCCUUCGAUGGAGAGGGGUUCGGAGAGGAAGGUCCCCCACAUUUGAACUGAGACACGGUCCAAAAUCGUACGGGAGGCAGCAGUGAGGUAUAUUGGUCAAUGGGCGGUAGGCUGAACCAGCCAAGUAUCUUGAGGGAUGAAGGCUUAUGGGUCGUAAACUUCUUUUAUAGAAGAAUAGGUACGAUAUGAAUAAGGAUCGGCUAACUCCGUGCCAGCAGCCGCGGUAAUAC
rnacentral:rRNA from 1 species